rnacentral:lncRNA from 10 species
GGAAUUUAUAGCUGGCCAGACAGUAAUGUGAGCUGCACUCUGAUAUGUUGGAUGAUGUUGCCUGUAAACCUCACAUUGAAAUGUAAUCCCCAAUGUGGGAGGUGGGGAUGGGUGACGGGUGAUUAAAUCAUGGGGACAGAUUUCUCAUAAAUGGUUAGCACCAUCUCUUUGGUGCUGUUCUCAUGAGAGUGAGUGAUUUCUCAAGAGAUCUGGUUAAGUGUGUGGCAUGACCUCACCCCAUCUUGCUCCCACUCGCACUGCGUGAGACACCUGCUCCUCCUUUGCCCUCCGUCAUAAUUGAAAGCUUCCUGAGGCCUCCCUGGAAGCCAAGCAGAUGCCAACACCGUGCUUCCUAUAAAGCCUACAGAAACAUGAGCCAAUUAAACUUCUUUAUAAAUUACCCAGCCUCAGGUAUUUCUUCAUAGCAACACAGACUCGGCGACAGCUGACAUCCUACCAGCCAUCACCAGCUCUGAGGGCGCUUGUCUUUCUUUUGGCUAUCUGUGGGGUAACUUUGGAUCCUGGGGGACUCUGAGAACAUCUCUUGUAUCCAUGGCCACAAAAAGUCUUAUGGGUUUCGAGUUACAUUGGAUUAGGUACACCUUUGGUUAAAAACAACAAAACAAAACAAAACAAAAAACAAGGUUAAAAGGACUAUUUGGAAACAAACUGGCCAAAGAAAAAAAUCUUUAGGGCCUUCUCCUGAAAUACUGAUAACAACUUUCACCCUCAACAGGUAAUCUUAACUUGUAUGAAACUAUGUAUGAAAGUUAUAAGAUCUUGGUUUGUGGCCAGGCAUAGUGGCUCAUGCCUGUCAUCCCAGCACUUUGGGAGGCUGAGGUGGGGAGAUCACUUGAGCCCAGGAGUUUGAAACCAGCCUGGGCAACAUGGUGAGACCCUGUCUUUACAAAAAAAUAUUUAAAAAUUAGCUGGGUGUGGUAGUGCAUGCCUCAGCUACUUGGGAGGCUGAGGUGGGAGGAUUGCUUGAGCCCAGAGGUCAAGGAGAAGGAGACCCUGUCUUAAAAAAAAAUUCUUUUUUUCUUUGCAGAUCUAUGUUAUGUCUACGCAUGUAUGUUAUGUAUACGUGAAAUUAUUCUCCCUCUGAUGGUAUUACCAAGUUAAUUUAUAAAAUCCCUUAAAGGAGUUCUAUUCAAAUUGGCUUAGAGAUACAUGAGCAUUUAUAUAAAACAUUUCUAAAGCUCUCAGAAAUAUAGAAACUAAGCCAAACAUUCUUUUCAAGUUCUUGUGACUUGAGUAACUCUGACAAGAUUAGUCUGAUAUUGUUAGUUUAUUAAAAACAGCUGUAUAGGUUGGGCACGGUGGCUCACGCCUGUAAUCCCAGCACUUCGGGAGGCCAAGGCGGGCAGAUCACCUGAGGUCAGGAGCUCAAGACAAGCCUGGCCAACAUGGCAACAUGGUGAAACCCCGUCUCUACAACAAUACAAAAAUCAGCCAGGCAAGAUGGCCGGUGCCUGUAAUCCCAGCUACUCGGGAGGCUGAGGUGGGAGAAUUGCUUGAACCCAGGAGCCAGAGGUUGCAGUGAGCUGAGAUGGUGCCAUUGCACUCCAGCCUGGGCAACAGAGCGAGACUCCAUCUCAACACAAAAACAAAACAAAAAAACCAGCUGCAUCUUCUGAGUUACCCAUAUUAAGUAUAAUCCAAGCAUACAUCUUUAUGUAGUUGGGCUUACUAGUGAAGUAGGGUUAAAAAUGCAUAACAAGGGCCUGGCAUGGUGGCUCAUGCCUAUAAUCCCAGCACUUUAGGAGGUUGAGGUGGGUGGAUCAUUUGAGGUCAGGAGUUCAAGACUAGCCUGGGCAACAUGGUGAAGCCCGUCUCUACUAAAAAUACAAUUAGCUGGGUGUGGCGGCGCACACCUGUAAUCCCAGCUACUCCGGAGGCUGAGGCAGAUGGAUCACUUGAGCCCAGGAGGCAGAAGUUGUAAUGAGCCAAGAUCAGGCCACUGCACUCCAACCUGGGCAACAAAGCAAGACUCCGUCUCAAAAAAAAAAAAAAAAAGAUACAAGGGGAAUUCCUUGAAAUGACAACUAGCCUUAUUCAGUGUUAUGUAUGACGUUACAGUGAGUAAGCAAGGCCGCUUCCUGGCAGGCCCAGGAAACUUAAAAUAUAUUGAGAACCUUGAGAAGAGAGGAAUUCUCUCAAAUCUACAGAUACUGCAGGCAAAGUCUGAUGGUUUUUUUUUUUUUUUUUUUUUUUUUUUUUUUUUUUUUUGAGACAGAGUCUCGCUGUGUCCCAGGCUGGAGUGCAAUGGUGAGAUCUCAGCUCACUGCAACCUCUGCCUCCCGGGUUCAAGCGAUCCUCCUGCCUCAGCCUCCCGAGUAGCUGGGAUUACAGGUGCAUGCCACCAUGCCUGGCUAAUUCUGUAUUUUUAGUAGAGAUGGGAUUUCUCCAUGUUGGUCAGACUGGUCUCAAACUCCCAACCUCAGGUGAUCCACCCGCCUUGGUCUCCCAAAGUGCUAGGAUUACAGGCGUGAACCACCGCAGCUGGCCCUGAUGGCAAAUUUUUAACUUGGCUUUCUAGCCUCAAGAGGCUUUUAAAAAGUGAAUCUGAGAUUCCUUAUUAAAAGUUCUAGCAAGGUAGACUUAAAAAGAGCCGACAUAGGUCAAUUCCCAUUCUUGCUGCCCUUAUGUAAAUAAUCAGGCCAAAUUCUAAUGAAACCAGACUUAUUUUGUAACUGAGAAUCAAGAGAGAAGCAACGGUACAGAGAAAUGAUGCUCCCGUGGAAAACUACGGCGCACGCUUGCGGGUUCUCAGUUCCUCUCCUUUCCUCCAAUAUCUGGCUACGACGCUCCAAGCUAACAUUUCCAGUUUUCUCCUACCCCCUGAGUUGGCAUGACAAAGAACUAAAACCUGCCAUUUCCCCAAAGCCCCAAAAGCUGACGCUGGAAGACUUGAUAUAAACUUCAGAGAAAUCACAGCAGAUGAUGUACGGAUAGUCCUUGUGCCUCCUACUCAGUCUGCUCAGAAAGUUCACCGGAACACCCAGUGCCAUCACCAAAGACAUCUAAAUUGCAAACUAUGGAAUUCACUGGCCAGCUGCUGCCACUCUCUCUCUACCAUGAAAGGAUACUUCAAGCCAACAUCUAGGAAUCUUCUCAACUAAAUGUUCUCCUGACUAAAAAAAUGGAGUUUAGGCCGGACACGGUGGCUCAUGCCUGUAAUCCCAGCACUUUGGGAGGCUGAGGUGGGCGGAUCACAAGGUCAGGAGAUUGAGACCAUCCUGGCUGACACAGUGAAAUGCUGUCUCUACUAAAAAUACAAAAAAUUAGCCAGGCGUGGUGACACGGGCCUGUCGUCCCAGCUACUCGGCAGGCUGGGGCAGGAGAAAGGCUUGAACCUGGGAGGUGGAGGUUGCACUGAGCCGAGAUCGUGCCACUGCACUCCAGCCUGAGUGAGAGUGAGACUUCACCUCAAAAACAAAACAAACAAACAAAAAACAAAAUAAAAAAAAUCCCCGGAACUUAUGGUUUGUUCAAACCACUGAACUUCAUGUUUGUUGACAAAGAAAGGCCCCUUAUUAACAGGCUGACUUAGGUAGUCACCCUACUCCCACCUCCACCGCUACCUCCUGAAUUGAGACACAACUCUUUCCCUGGAGUGACCUAGUCACAGCACUGAGAGAAGGAUUCAUGCAACAUGAGACAAUCUACCAACUCAGUUUCUGGACUGUAAAACUUCCUGGGGAAAGUUCCAGAUGGGGGAAUGCUGGGGUCCGGAACACUACUGUCCCAAAUAUGGAGCCUGGGCAUGCUGAAUAUGUUAUUGAGCUGAAGGAAUCUAAGAAAGGCAGGUGUGGGAAGGGCUCUCUCUGACUCCCCCUACUUCUGUGUAGCAGAUCAUAAAACCUUCUAAUGGGAGGGGGUCUUCCCUAUGUCCAGAGGGUGCCUUAUCUCUAAAGACGGCGGAAUGACAAAAGGAAUUGAAGCUCCAUGACUUUCCACUCUUCACCAAACCUAGUAUCAAAACAUUCGGGCUGAACCAUGUCUUCACCUUCCUUCACCUUCCUUCCUC